rnacentral:rRNA from 1 species
UUAGUGGCGGACGGGUGAGUAACGCGUAGGAAUUUAUCCUGAGAUGGUGGAUAACCCUGGGAAACUGGGGCUAAUACAGCAUAAUGACUGAGGUCCAAAGCUUUAGGGCGUCUUGGGAGAAGCCUGCGUUUGAUUAGCUAGUUGGUGGGGUAAGAGCCUACCAAGGCGAUGAUCAAUAGCUGGUUUGAGAGGAUGAUCAGCCACACUGGGACUGAGACACGGCCCAGACUCCUACGGGAGGCAGCAGUGGGGAAUAUUGGACAAUGGGGGCAACCCUGAUCCAGCAAUGCCGCGUGCGUGAAGAAGGUCUUCGGAUUGUAAAGCGCUUUCGUUAGGGACGAUGAUGACGGUACCUAAAGAAGAAGCCCCGGCUAACUUCGUGCCAGCAGCCGCGGUAAUACGAAGGGGGCGAGCGUUGCUCGGAAUGACUGGGCGUAAAGGGCGUGUAGGCGGUUUACUGCUGUCAGAUGUGAAAUUUCUGGGCUUAACCUGGGAACGUGCAUUUGACACGGCUAUACUAGAGUUCGAGAGAGGAUUGCGGAAUUUCCAGCUGUAGAGGUGAAAUUCCUAGAUAUUGCAAAGAACACCCGUUGCGAAG